rnacentral:rRNA from 1 species
UACGUAGGGUGCAAGCGUUGUCCGGAAUUAUUGGGCGUAAAGAGCUCGUAGGCGGUCUGUCGCGUCUGCUGUGAAAACUCAGGGCUUAACCCUGAGCUUGCAGUGGGUACGGGCAGACUAGAGUGCGGUAGGGGAGACUGGAAUUCCUGGUGUAGCGGUGAAAUGCGUAGAUAUCGAGAGGAACACCUGCGGCGAAGGCGGGUUGCUGGGCCGACACUGACGCUGAGGCGCGAAAGCCAGGGGAGCAAACGGG